AAAUGGUGAAAGCAAAGCUAUACAGACAAAAUCACAGACAGAAGCAUACACAUGCACACUCACAAAAAGAGGAAAAGGGAAAAAAAUAUAUAUCGUUGCUCCCAAAAUCCACCUCCUCAAUUUGGGAUGAUCCGUUGUCUAUUCAUAUAUUCCACAGAUGCAGGUACAUCAAGUUGAUUGUGGAGCUUUAAUCCGCUGCUUCUGAGGCUGCUGGGAGAAAUUUCCCUUUCUCUUCUUUGCACAGCUCCCAGGGUUUAGUUUUGAAUGUGGCCCUGCCUCUGCGUGUAGGUCGCCGGAGGGCGUCUGUUCUUCGCUCAAACAGGACGGGGUUAAAGGAGCCGCUGAUUUGGGGGCUCCGGCUCACUCAGGCCGGGGGGAGGGAGGGGUGCAGAUGCGGGGCUGGCCUGCGGCGGCAGAGGCCGGCGUGACGUUGCACCAGCCUGAGGCGCGCCGUGCAUUCUCCUGGGGAAGUUGUCCCUGGAUCCCAGGACCCUGGCAGCGGCGGGCUGCACAGGCUCCCCGGAAGGGGGGUGUGGAUAGUGACCUGUUCUCACACACAGGCUUCUUGGUGGCGGCAGCAGCAGCCUUAGCGUCUCAUGCUUGUCUCUGGGGUCUGCGCGCCUGUCUCUGGAGCUCCUUUAAGCAGCACUCUUAAUCUCCUCUCCUCGCGCACCAGGAAACAAAGAGGGAAGAAAAAGUCACUUGCCUCUUCGGCAGGUCCAGACAUUUUCCCGGACUCCCUCCCGGCUAGCCGUGGCGCACUAACCCCUUCAGGCUGUGUUCACGCCGCCAACCCCAGUCCUCUCCCUGCUCUCAGACCUAAGCCCUAGCCUCAGCUCCCAGCCCCGCCUGCCCCGGCGGGUGAGCAGACAAGCCUCUCGGGCUGGUGAGUGCCGGUCGGCGCAGAUCCUCUGGGCGGGAAUCUCUACGCUUUGCCCUCUGCACCCCUGUUGCUGCGCUCUCCUCCACGGCUCCGAAGCUUCCCCGCUCCGCCACCCGCAGUCUCCACCCGCGAAGGGGCUUCUAGUGUGUGGAAACCUUUCCUCCUUCACGGCUCCCUCCCACUGGUGCAGGGCCCGUCCCUAUUCUUUUGUCUCUGUUUAUUCUUUUUCCUUUUGCCCUAACCAGGUACGUGGGAAGUUUCUUGCCUUUUGGGAGGUCUUCUGCCAGCGUUCUGUAGGUGUUCUGUAGGAGUUGUUCCACGUGUAGAUGUAUUUCUGGUGUAUCUGUGGGGAGGAAGGUGAUCUCCGUGUCUUACUCCUCUGCCGUCUUGAAGGUCUCUCCCUUCUGUUUAGUUUUAAUUCAAAGUGCAGAAUAAGUAUCCAAGAGUCCAUACAGAUAUCAAUAAAUGAUUGAAGGAAUAAAGCAUGUGGAGGAGAAGAGACCAAUCUCCCCCAGAGAAGAAUCCCACAUAAUUCCAUGUUCCCCAUUCUUCCAUUUCAAGGUUAAGGAGUGUCGACCCUGCCCUUUGAGGGUGGCCUGCACUCAGAAACUUAGGAGAACUUCUGGGUGUCCUUAAAUUUGUCAACAAGUUUUUAGACAUAAGACCAAAAGCACAAUCCAUGGGAAAGAAUUGAUACAUUAGAAAGCAUCACAAUGAAAAACAUUUGUUCUCUGAAAGCCCCUGUUAAGGGAAUCUAAUGGCAAGCCACAGACUGGAAAAAUAUAUUUUCAAAUAACAUAUUUGGUAAGAACUUGUGCUGUGAAUGCAUACACUCAUAAAUGAACCAAAGAAAGUAAGCAAGCCAAUUAAAAGUGGACCGAAUUUCUGAACUCACCAAGAAAGAUGGACAGAUGGCAAAUAAGCACUUGGAAAGGUGCGCCAUGUCACAUGUCAUCAGGGACCGCAAGCUGCAACAACUGUGAGGUACCACUGCAUGCUGAGAGGCUGGAACACAGAACAUGGACGCACCAGGCUCUGGUGAGGACCUGGGCCACAGGAGCGCUCGCUCAUGGCUGGGGGUGUAAUGUGGCUAAAGCACCUGCAACACGUGUUAGCGCUUCUCCAUGGAGAUAAACCUGGACUGCCCAUGGGGUGGAGCAGUUUGCUCUCAGCUAGGUCCCCAAGUCACUUAAAGACUCAGGUCCACACAACAGCCUCCUGGGAAGGCUCAUACCUGCGUUAUUCACUCAAGCUUCUCUGUAGUCCCUAAAUUUUGCUUACAGGGUGUUUAUUGUAUGGAACAUCCCUCCUAUACCAGUAAACACAUGUUUCUAACCCCGUUUUCUCUGGAAGGCUUUAAUCCAAUCAUCCCUGUGUUUCCUCAGUCCCAGCACAGCUGCCCUGUCCCUCAGGCUUCUGAAACACUCAGGAUACAGGUUAUCACAUUGUAUGUUUGCAUAGUAAGACAUGGCUGUGUCCUCAGAUCUCAGACUGCUCAGCUCCAUGUCGGCUGUACUGGUGGAAGUGUCCACAGUCAAGGCUUCUCUGCCCUUCAACUAUAGUGCAUAGCCUGUGUCACCAUCAUUAGGGGAGAUUUGUCCAUCCACUCAAGCCCUUGUUGAGGGGCAUGUGGCACCCAGAUCAUAGCGUAGCUGGUGAAGGCAUAUCCAGAAACCUUGCAGGAGACCUUCCCUGAUACCCCAGGUCCUCAGCUCAGCCCCAGACUGCACCAGCUGGACCUGGGAGUGGACAGCUGUGGACAAGAGACAGAAGUAGGUGGAACGUCCCUUCACUGAUCCUAGAUCCCUCCUCAACCCAGAGACCAGGGAGCCCCUUACCUGUAGCCACUGUGACCAGGAAGAGGACUCUCCAGCCCCAGUCCAUGGUGAGGGCUGUGCUCUUGGGGUUCUUGUGGAGGAAGGGGUGUGGUUGUUAGAUGAUGUUCUCAGGGCUCGGAACAUCCAUAUUUAACCUAGGACACACCAGCUCAUUUGCAUAUUCAUGAAGCUGAAAAUUUCGUAUUUAAUACAUGGACCAUCUUACAAGAAGCAGACUGAUGACCCCUAAACCAUGCUUAGUGGGAGGCUGAGAGUCCACAUCCUCACCCUCGUUUGAGGACAUGCAUCCCCUGCCAUGUUCCUAAACACUGUACAGGCAGAGCUCCUCCCACUGAGGGACCCGCCCACUUAGGACAAGGUCCUCAUUGUGAACCAGCCUUUGAAUGGCACAGACGCCUGAACCUGUUCUGGGCUUUCAUGUCUGAAUAUCCUAUUUCUGGAAUCAGUGUGUCCCCAAAAUCUGCAACCACUGGGUAAACAGGCAAACAAACAUACACACACAUACAUACAUACAUAUUUUGAAGCCCUGCUUCUCAUUGUCUUAUUGAGUUAGGUAAGUGUUUUCAAUAGGAUCCAAUAUUAAACACUUCAGCAGUCCUUGUCCUACUAAUUAUUGUUUUCUUCCCCCAGUUUCAAAGGAAUUUAAUAUUAUUUACAUAGCUAAGGAACAGAUGAUACAUUUCCAUUUAUUAGAAACUGACCUGUAUAAUAAAAUAGAUUUUAAAUUCA